UACGUAGGGCCCGAGCGUUAUCCGGUAUUAUUGGGCGUAAAGAGUACGUAGGCGGUUCGUUAAGUCAGAUGUGAAAGCCCCGGGCUCAACCUGGGAACUGCAUUUGAAACUGGCGGGCUUGAGUGUGGCAGAGGGGGGUGGAAUUCCGCGUGUAGCGGUGAAAUGCGCAGAUAUCAGGAGGAACACCGGUGGCGAAGGCGGAUCUCUGGGCCUUGCCUGACGCUGAGGCGCGAAAGCUAGGGGAGCGAACAGG
rnacentral:rRNA from 1 species